rnacentral:rRNA from 1 species
CGCACGGGUGAGUAACACGUAUCCAACCUGCCGUCUACUCUUGGACAGCCUUCUGAAAGGAAGAUUAAUACAAGAUGGCAUCAUGAGUCCGCAUGUUCACAUGAUUAAAGGUAUUCCGGUAGACGAUGGGGAUGCGUUCCAUUAGAUAGUAGGCGGGGUAACGGCCCACCUAGUCUUCGAUGGAUAGGGGUUCUGAGAGGAAGGUCCCCCACAUUGGAACUGAGACACGAUCCAAACUCCUACGGGAGGCAGCAUG